CAAGCUAACGCCUUAAGCAUCCCGCCUGGGGAGUACGGCCGCAAGGCUAAAACUCAAAGGAAUAGACGGGGACCCGCACAAGCGGUGGAGCAUGUGGUUUAAUUCGACGAUAAGCGAGGAACCUCACCAAGGUUUGACAUCUGGCUGCAGACUCCUGGAAACAGGAGAGCCUUCGAGGGUGCCAGACAGAUGCUGCAUGGUUGUCGUCAGCUCGUGUCGUGAGAUGUACCGUUAAGUCGGAAAACGAGCGCAACCCCUAUCCUAUGUUUCAUGUGUCAUAGGGAACUGCCUGCGUUAAGCAGGAGGAAGGUGGGGAUGACGUCAAAUCAGCAUGGUUCUUACACCUUGGGCGACACACGUGCUACAAUGGGGAACACAAAGGGACGCCAAAUCGUAAGAUGGAGCAAACCCCAAAAAAUUCUCCUCAGUUCGGAUUGAGGUCUGCAACUCGACCUCAUGAAGUUGGAAUCGCUAGUAAACGC
rnacentral:rRNA from 1 species